rnacentral:rRNA from 1 species
AGCUGNUUCUCAAGAAAAGAAUUUAAGUCCAACCUAAAGUAACUCCUGAUUAUCAUAAAUCACCUCACCACUUUAGAGCAAUUCAAAUGAGGUACAGCCCAUUUGAUAUAGGAUACAACCUUAACUAACGGGUAACAUUAAAUCUACACCUCCAAGUAGGCCUAAGAGCAGCCACCCUUUAAAAAAGCGUCAAAGCUUAAUCAUGUUCACAUCAAUUUUUAAUCUUCAAUUGACCCCUUUUACCUUACUGAGAAUUUCUAUAUCAUAUAGAAUAUUUUAUGCUAAAACUAGUAACAAGAGUAAACCCUCUCCCAAUGCAAACACAAGCCAGCAAGAACCCAUCACUGGCAAUUAACAGACUUAAACAAAAGUAGCAACAUCUCUAGAAAACCCUACUCAUCCCAACUGUUAACCUUAUACCAGAGCAUUUCAGGAAAGAUUAAAAGAAAAAGAAGGAACUCGGCAAACACUAAUCCCGCCUGUUUACCAAAAACAUCGCCUCUUGCCCCCAUAAGAGGUCAAGCCUGCCCAGUGACUUUGUUCAACGGCCGCGGUAUCCUAACCGUGCAAAGGUAGCGUAAUCACUUGUUUUCUAAAUAAAGACCAGUAUGAAAGGCAUCACGAGGAUUAAACUGUCUCCUUUUUCCAAUCAGUGAAACUAAUCUCCCCGUGAAGAAGCGGGGAUUAUCCUAUAAGACG